UACGGGGGGGGCAAGCGUUGUUCGGAAUUACUGGGCGUAAAGGGCUCGUAGGCGGCCAACUAAGUCGGACGUGAAAUCCCUCAGCUUAACUGGGGAACUGCGUCCGAUACUGGAUGGCUUGAGUUUGGGAGAGGGAUGCGGAAUUCCAGGUGUAGCGGUGAAAUGCGUAGAUAUCUGGAGGAACACCGGUGGCGAAGGCGGCAUCCUGGACCGACACUGACACUGAGGAGCGAAAGCCAGGGGAGCAAACGGG
rnacentral:rRNA from 1 species